GGCCUNCCAUGNGGUAACGGGUAACGGGGUGUUAGGGCNCGACACCGGAGAGGGAGCUGAGAAACGGCUACCACAUCCCAANGGAUGGCAGCAGGCGCGCAAAUUACCCAAUCCCGACACGGGAGGUAGUGACAAUAAAUAACAAUACGGGGUCCUUUCGGGUUUCGUAAUUGGAAUGAGUACAAUUUAAAUCUCUUAACGAGGAACAAUUGGAGGGCAAGUCUGGUGCCAGCAGCCGCGGUAAUUCCAGCUCCAAUAGCGUAUAUUAAAGUUGUUGCAGUUAAAAAGCUCGUAGUUGAAUUUCGGGAUUAGUACGUUGGUCGUGCCUUAGGUACGUACUGGUGUUACUGGUUCCUACCUUCUGACGAACCAUCAUGUCAUUAAUUUGGUGUGGUGGGGAAUCAGGACUGUUACUUUGAAAAAAUUAGAGUGUUUAAAGCAGGCUCGCGCUUGAAUACAUUAGCAUGGAAUAAUGAAAUAGGACGUUGAUCCUAUUUUGUUGGUUUCUAGGAUUGACGUAAUGAUUAAUAGGGAUAGUUGGGGGCAUUAGUAUUCAAUUGUCAGAGGUGAAAUUCUUGGAUUUAUUGAAGACUAACUACUGCGAAAGCAUUUGCCAAGGAUGUUUUCAUUAAUCAAGAACGAAAGUUAGGGGAUCGAAGACGAUCAGAUACCGUCGUAGUCUUAACCAUAAACUAUGCCGACUAGGGAUCGGAUGAUGUUAUUUUUAAUGACUCAUUCGGCGCCUUACG
rnacentral:rRNA from 1 species